UAAGAGAUCGGUUCUGCCCAGUGCUGAUAUUAAAAGUUAACGGCGGCGGUAUUCUUAACUGUCCGAAGGUAGCGUAGUUAUUUGGCUUUUAAUUGGGGUCUGGUAUGAAGGAGCUGACGAGGGUUUUUCUGUCUUAGGAGUUGUUAGUGAAUUUAGUUAAGGAGUUAAAAGUCUUCUGUGUUGUAAAGGGACGAUAAGACCCCGACGAGUUUUUUCUUUAUUAAAAGGCUUUUUUUUAGUAAAGGUUUGGUUGGGGUAACUUGUUUAAAAUUUUUUAUGUUUUUGUUGAAAUGAAUAGUUUUAGAGUGUCUUUAGAAAAAAAUUUUUUUGUUUAGAUCUAGGGAAGUUCUUGUUCUUUAGUUUAAGUUAAAAUUACCGCGGGGGUAACAGCGUGGUUUUCUUAGAGAGUACUUAUUGAAGGGAUAGUUCGCGACCUCGAUGUAGAAUCAUUCUUUCCUGGAGGGGCAGCAAAUUCCAAGGGUGGGUUUGUUC
rnacentral:rRNA from 1 species